rnacentral:misc_RNA from 1 species
AAGUCGUAACAAGGUUUCCGUAGGUGAACCUGCGGAAGGAUCAUUAACACGUAUCCAACGUUAAACCCCCCUGUGAACUUUUAGCUUGCUCUCGUAGCCCGCCAGAUACUGCAAUCCCUGGUAAAUCAUUGUUGACCAGUUUUGAUUCAGGGACCUCAGUUCUGGUGAGAAGUUACAGUUACGAUUGAGCGAUCGUUGCAAGUGGCCUGGUUUCCCCAAACAAUGAGUGUCUAACAGUGUCACUGAUUGCGUAAGGAUAACGCUUUUCGAUCACUAGAGGCCGAACACCGGCCGGUGACCAGGUCGCCGUGGCUUCGGCCCCCUAUAUUCACCCCACAUCAACCGAACAACUGUUAACAAUGGAUAUCUUGGUUCUC